AGGAUAAACGCUGGCGGCGUGCCUAAUGCAUGCAAGUCGAACGGAUAGUUGUCUUCGGAUAGCUAUUAGUGGCAAACGGGUGAGUAACACGUGGGGAUCUGCCCAGUAGUGGGGAACAACUCCGAGAAAUCGGAGCUAAUACCGCAUACGGUCUGUGUUGAGGAACACGAGACUAAAGCCAGCAAUGGCGCUAUUGGAGGAACCUGCGGCUGAUUAGCUAGUUGGUGGGUAAAGGCCUACCAAGGCGAUGAUCAGUAGC
rnacentral:rRNA from 1 species